rnacentral:rRNA from 1 species
UACGUAGGGUGCAAGCGUUGUCCGGAUUUAUUGGGCGUAAAGAGCUCGUAGGCGGUUUGUCGCGUCGGGUGUGAAAACUUGCGGCUUAACCGCAAGCCUGCACCCGAUACGGGCGGGCUAGAGUUCGGCAGGGGAGACUGGAAUUCCUGGUGUAGCGGUGGAAUGCGCAGAUAUCAGGAGGAACACCGGUGGCGAAGGCGGGUCUCUGGGCCGAUACUGACGCUGAGAAGCGAAAGCGUGGGGAGCGAACAGG